GUACCAAAAACCGACGGCCGGUUCUGCCGGUCUCACUCUUGGUGACUCUGAAUAAAGUAGCGGAUCGCACGGCCUUGCGCCGGCGACGGACCAUUCAAGUGUCUGCCCUAUCAGCUUUCGAUGGUAAGUGACCUGCUUACCAUGGCUUUCACGGGUAACGGGGAAUCAGGGUUCGAUUCCGGAGAGGGAGCAUGAAAAACGGCUACCACUUCCAAGGAAGGCAGCAGGCACGCAAAUUACCCAAUCCCGACACGGGGAGGUAGUGACGAAAAAUAACAAUGCCGCCCUCUGCGAGGGAGGUAAUUGGAAUGAGCACAAUUUACAAACCUUAGCGAGGAUCUAUUGGAGGGCAAGUCUGGUGCCAGCAGCCGCGGUAAUUCCAGCUCCAAUAGCGUAUAUUAAAGUUGUUGCAGUUAAAAAGCUCGUAGUUGGAUCUMASGAGCGAGAGGCGCGGCUGGGCGCGGCCUUCGCGCAAGCGGGGUCGUCGUUCCGGCCAGCCUGAAUCKGUCCCUCCKCARGMUCUCCGAUCGUGCUAUUAGCKAASKAGAGCCGGCAAGUAGGCACACAGAAUSGAUM
rnacentral:rRNA from 1 species